CUGGCAACAGUCCACGGCGAUGGUAAACCCCACCUGGAGCAAGACCAAAUAGGAAUCCAAUGGCGUGGCCCGCGCUGGAUUCGGGUAGGUUGCUUGAGGCCUGCGGUGACGCAGGCCCUAGAUGAAUGACUGUCCAAGACAGAACCCGGCUUAUCGGCGAGCUCGCCAU
rnacentral:RNase_P_RNA from 1 species